rnacentral:siRNA from 1 species
CACAAGUUUCAGAGUGUUGAA